rnacentral:lncRNA from 1 species
UCUACAGUCACGAGGAGCAGCUGACUUUGGGACAACUACAAGAGGCCAACGCUGUAUAAACUGGUGCCGCAGAAGGGGUAGAAGUCUGAAAGAUGAAGGAGGAUGCCAGAGGCUCGAACACUUCAAUGUCAAUGUCAAGGAUCCCACAUGGAAGAGGAGGUUAAGUGUUUCGGUGAGGCCUCUGGAGAGAAGCCUUCUCUCCCAAAUGAGAAGGACAGUGGUGGAAGAGCAACUUUCAUGAAACAACCUCCAAUAUAGCACAUGUUUGAAUUGAUUGCCCAGGAAACAAUAUGAAGAAAAAAUAGAAAGUUCCUCAUUGUUUUAUUAAAAUCUAUUCCAG